rnacentral:lncRNA from 1 species
AGUAGCUGGGACCACAGGUGUAUGCCACCACACCCAGCCACUGCACCCUUGUUGAGAACCAUUGCUGGGGAGCUGGUGUGGUCAUUUGGAGGUAAGAAGACACUGGCUAUUUGUGUUGCUAGAGUUCUUCCACUGUUUUUUUUUUUUUUCCUCAUCUGUGUGGACCAAUGUUCCUUCGAUCUUUGAAGCUGCUAUCCUUUGGGUGUUCUUGUCCCUGGGGCUUCCUCAGUCUGGAGUCACAGUUGGGAGACAGGCUGUAUUCUUGCUGGAUUAGACCUAAUCUGCUGUCUGAGUGCUUUCUGGGGAAACACUUGGUUUUACCUGUCCACAGAGUUCAGGCAGAAGUGGAACCACUGGGCUGGAAACUGUAGUGUGUGUGGCCCUUCUGGCUAUGAGAGGCAGGUGUAGGUGGAUGGUGUUGCCUGCCCUGCCAUCUGGGUGUCUCCACAGUAACAGCAGGUGGUGCCCCUUAGAAAAUUCAGGCAGAAGUGAGACUCCUGGGCUGGAAGCUCUAGCAAGUGAGGCUCACCUGGCGAGCAGUGGUGGAGGUUGGUGGGAUCACCUGCUCUGCUGUCCAGGUGCUUCCCAGGAUAACAGGAGUCUAAGCUUGAUGGGUGAUUUCAGAAAAAGUAGGAUCACUGGGUCCAAAGCUGGAGCAAGAAUUGUUUGCUUGGCUACCAGUGGUGGUGGGUGGUGUCACUUGCCCUGAUAUCUGAGUGCUUCCAGGGACAUGCAAUUGCUUUUAAAAUGAGGGUAAGAACAGAGAAAAUAUGCUGUAAUAAUAUAUAUAUAUAUUUUAAUAAUUGCCUUCAUACUUCCCUUUACUUCUUUGGUUUUUCAAAUGUAGAUUUGAAACUACAGCCUGAUGUCACUAGCUUUUAGCCUGAAGAACUUCCUUUAGCAUUUAUUUUAAGGCAGGUAUGAUAGCAACAUAUUGUUCCAGCUUUGGCAUAUCUGGGAUUAAUUUUGUUUCAUUUUCAUUUUGUAAAAGACAGUUUCAUUUCUUGUUUCUGUUCUUCAUUGUUUCUAAUAAGAAGUCAACUGUUAAUCUUACUGGAGUUCCAUUUAAGUGAUGAAUCAUUUUUGUCUUACAGGAUACAAUAUUUUCUCUUUAUCUUUGGCUUUCAGUAUCUUGGCUAUGAUAAUUUUAGUUGUGGCUCUUUUUUCAUUUAUUCUACAUAUAGUUUAUUGGGUUUGCAGAUGUGUUUUUAAUCAAUUUGUAAGAAUUUUCAGCCAUUAUUUCUUCACGGUUUUUCUCUCCCUUUCUCCUUUCCUUUAGGCAAUCUCAUGACAUUCCUGUUGGUGUGUUUAAUGGCACACUGUGCUCUCUGAGGCUCUAUUCAUUUUUCCUUAUUUUUACCCACUGAUCUGAUUAUUUAUCCCUAUUGAUCUACCUUAAAGUUUGCUGAUUCUUUCUUCUGUCACCUCAAAUCUACUGUUGAGUUUAGUAAACUUUUUUGUCUUGGUUAUUGUAACUUUCCACUCCAUAAUUUCUAUGUAACUGUAUGUUGACCUACUCACAACUUGAUAUUAUAUAUUUAUUUUCAUUCAGAGAAUUAUACAUUUUGGGUAAGAAUUAGCACUUUUAAAUUACAUGAUUAAAGAUAUAGAAAAUGCUUCUGUUAAACCAAAACUUCUGGAAUAAUAAUACAAUGUAUUUCAUUUACUGCUUUUAUUGUGUUUUUUUGGUGUGUGUGUGUAUGCGUGUGUAUGACAAAUAUCUGGCUGUUUUAAUAAUAGUUUA